rnacentral:rRNA from 1 species
GUAUUAAACCAUAUCACCCUGCAACUCACAACUGGCACCCCACUGAAGCUAAGCAGGGGUGAGCCUGGUCAGUACCUGGAUGGGAGAUCUCCUGGGAAAAACUAAGGUUGUGUUCU